UUGUCUCAAAGAUUAAGCCAUGCAUGUCUCAGUACAAGCCGAAUUAAGGUGAAACCGCGAAAGGCUCAUUAAAUCAGUUAUGGUUCCUUAGAUCGUACCCACAUUUACUUGGAUAACUGUGGUAAUUCUAGAGCUAAUACAUGCAAACAGAGCUCCGACCGGAGACGGAAGGAGCGCUUUUAUUAGAUCAAAACCAAUCGGUGGCGAUUUCCGUCGUCAUCGUACAACUUGGUGACUCUGAAUAACUUUACGCUGAUCGCACGGUCUCGCACCGGCGACGCAUCUUUCAAAUGUCUGCCUUAUCAACUGUCGAUGGUAGGUUCUGCGCCUACCAUGGUUGUAACGGGUAACGGGGAAUCAGGGUUCGAUUCCGGAGAGGGAGCCUGAGAAACGGCUACCACAUCCAAGGAAGGCAGCAGGCGCGCAAAUUACCCACUCCCGGCACGGGGAGGUAGUGACGAAAAAUAACGAUACGGGACUCAUCCGAGGCCCCGUAAUCGGAAUGAGUACACUCUAAACCCUUUAACGAGGAUCAAUUGGAGGGCAAGUCUGGUGCCAGCAGCCGCGGUAAUUCCAGCUCCAAUAGCGUAUAUUAAAGUUGUUGCGGUUAAAAAGCUCGUAGUCGAAUCUGUGUCCCGCGCCGCCGGUUCAUCGUUCGCGGUGUCAACUGGCGUGCCGCGGGACGUCCUGCCGGUGGGCUUAGCUCGAGAGGGCGGCCCAACUCAAUCCCGCCGCGGUGCUCUUCAUUGAGUGUCGAGGUGGGCCGGCACGUUUACUUUGAACAAAUUAGAGUGCUUAAAGCAGGCUAAAACUUCGCCUGAAUACUGUGUGCAUGGAAUAAUGGAAUAGGACCUCGGUUCUAUUUUGUUGGUUUUCUGAACCCCGAGGUAAUGAUUAAUAGGAACGGAUGGGGGCAUUCGUAUUGCGACGUUAGAGGUGAAAUUCUUGGAUCGUCGCAAGACGGACAGAAGCGAAAGCAUUUGCCAAAAACGCUUUCAUUGAUCAAGAACGAAAGUUAGAGGUUCGAAGGCGAUCAGAUACCGCCCUAGUUCUAACCAUAAACGAUGCCAGCUAGCGAUCCGCCGACGUUCCUCCGAUGACUCGGCGGGCAGCUUCCGGGAAACCAAAGCUUUUGGGUUCCGGGGGAAGUAUGGUUGCAAAGCUGAAACUUAAAGGAAUUGACGGAAGGGCACCACCAGGAGUGGAGCCUGCGGCUUAAUU
rnacentral:rRNA from 2 species